UUAAGAAAUAUAUGCUACACAUAAGAAGAUUUAUUAAUAAGAAUUGUCUCAUGUGAUUAUAGAGGUAAGAAGUUCCCCAAGACUCCAUGUGAGAGCUAGAAACCCAGGAGAGCCAGCUCUGCAAUAGUGAAAGUGUGAAGGCGGGAGAGUCAGGAUUGCCAGUGUCUGAUGGAUGUGAUGGCUAAUCUCACUGCCAGCUCUGUAGGCCCUGAAAUCAUGGAGGAGACACACAGCUGUGCAUGUCUUUGAGGUUUAAGAGGCAGAGGAAUAUCUACCCUCAAUCCAGGCUCCAGUCUGCCACCCAGGUCUCGGUGAGACACUGAUACUUCUGGUCCUGCUGUCAAGAGCUUCCAGCACUUCUGAGACACCAGAUCUUGGGUUCAGACUCCAUCUUAGAGAGCAUAACUUAAGGUUGAACCCAAGUUAACCGACGGAGAUCUGAUUCUGACUCCUUUUGCUCCUGACUUGUCCUUGAUGGCAUGAGAUCCUUUGGCAUCUCCAUCACACUCUCCAUUUAGC
rnacentral:lncRNA from 1 species